GCUGGCACCACAAAUCACCACACACUGACACUGCAGGGUUGCUGAGUGGAUUCUAGAGUAGCUAACUAGUUACACGGACAGGAAAAAAAUUUGGAAGAAAAGGAAACCGAAGUUCUCAGCUCAACUCAAUCGUCAGCAUGUCAGUCGUCAGGCCUGGUUCCACUGCAAGUAGGCCGCCUCCUUUAUCCACUUGUUUCUUCGGCUUUGGAUGAACUCGUCAAAUUUCCUGUUCAGCUCGUCGAUCUCUAACUCGUCCAGCCCUCCCCCUGUUUCACAGGCUGGUUCCCCGGCAGCAGUCUCCAACUCCACGGUGAUGCUAUCUCCUUCCAGCAGCCCCAGCAGCUCCGAUCUCGUCAUCGCCGUGCCGCUGUUGAUCUUGUCCUGAAGAGGACAGUCUGAAUAUGUGACGCACGGUUUCGCGGCGCAUCGCCGCGCCUCCUCCUGAUGGCGCUGCGCCUGUUGUUUCUCCAGGGCACCGCCGGGUAGCUCGCAAGCGUCGGCGACGUCGCUCGCGGACGCGCCGGCGGCGAAGAACCAGCGGCAGUCGGCGGCGAGGAGGGCGAGGAUGGCGUUGGAGAGCAAGAACAGCGCCGUCCUGGUGGUGACCAGGCUCCCAGCAGCCGCGAGGAGCCAAGCCGGUGGCAGGAUCAGGGCGAGGGAAGCGACGGCUCCCAACGCGAGGACGGCGGCUCGCGAGGCGUCGACGCCCUUCCUCAACCUCCCGACGCCUGGAUCGCAGUCGCGGCUCUCCAGGCUGAGGCUGCUAUGGUGCUCGACGUGCAGCUGCAGCAAGUGAUCCAUGCUGUCAGUGCUCUUGCAGGUGGUAGUGGUGGGUCGCAGAGGCUCACGUGACAGAUUAGAGGAGGGGGAAGGAUGUGAUCCGAUGACGGAGAUGGGCUGCUGGGUCCUCAAGGACAGCAGCCUGUCGGGG